rnacentral:tRNA from 1 species
UGGGGUUUGGCUCAGUGGUAGAGUGCUUACCUAGCAUGUGUGAGGCACUGGGUUCGAUUCUCAGCACCACAU